GGGGAAUAUUGCGCAAUGGGGGAAACCCUGACGCAGCAACGCCGCGUGAAGGAAGAAGGUCUUCGGAUUGUAAACUUCUUUGAUGAGGGAAGAAAAAAAUGACGGUACCUCAAAAACAAGCCACGGCUAACUACGUGCCAGCAGCCGCGGUAAUACGUAGGUGGCGAGCGUUGUCCGGAAUUACUGGGUGUAAAGGGCGUGUAGGCGGGAUUGCAAGUCAGAUGUGAAAUUCCGGGGCUUAACCUCGGCGCUGCAUCUGAAACUGUGGUUCUUGAGUGCUGGAGAGGAUAGUGGUAUUCCUAGUGUAGCGGUGAAAUGCGUAGAUAUUAGGAGGAACACCAGUGGCGAAGGCGACUAUCUGGACAGUAACUGACGCUGAGGCGCGAAAGCGUGGGGAGCAAAC
rnacentral:rRNA from 1 species